GUGGGGAAUAUUGCACAAUGGGGGAAACCCUGAUGCAGCGACGCCGCGUGGAGGAAGAAGGUCUUCGGAUUGUAAACUCCUGUUGUUGAGGAAGAUAAUGACGGUACUCAACAAGGAAGUGACGGCUAACUACGUGCCAGCAGCCGCGGUAAAACGUAGGUCACAAGCGUUGUCCGGAAUUACUGGGUGUAAAGGGAGCGCAGGCGGGAAGACAAGUUGGAAGUGAAAUCCAUGGGCUCAACCCAUGAACUGCUUUCAAAACUGUUUUUCUUGAGUAGUGCAGAGGUAGGCGGAAUUCCCGGUGUAGCGGUGGAAUGCGUAGAUAUCGGGAGGAACACCAGUGGCGAAGGCGGCCUACUGGGCACCAACUGACGCUGAGGCUCGAAAGUGUGGGUAGCAAACAGGAUUAGAUACCCGUGUAGUCC
rnacentral:rRNA from 1 species